UUCACCAUGUUGGUCAUGUUGGUCAGGCUAGUCUCAAACUCCUGACCUUGUGAUCCGCCCACCUCCGCCUCCCAAAGUGCUGGGAUUACAGGCAUGAGCCACCGCGCUCGGCCUUAUUCUUCAGUUUUAUCUUUCAUCUUUCAUAUAAAAAUUUUCUUUUCAGUGACUCUUUUUCUUUCUUUUUUUUUUUCCAGGUAAGGUCUUACUCUGCCACCCAGGCUGGAGUGCAGUGGGGCAAUUUUGGCUUACUGCAGCCUCGACCUCCCAGGCUCAAGCAGUCCUCCCACCUCAGCUCCCCAUGUAGCUGGGUCCACAGGCACAUGUCACCACACCCAGCUAAUUUUUGUAGAGACGGGGUCUCACCAUGCUGUCCAGGCUGUUCUCAAACUCCUGAGCUCAAGUGAUCCUUCCGCCUCAGCCUUCCAAAGUGCUUCCAAAGUACAGGCGUGAGCCACUGAGCCUGGUCUCUAUUUUUCACCUCCAAGAAAUUUUAGUUUUUUCUCUGGGCACUCACUUUCUUCCUUAGGAAUGUGGAGCUAAUAGUAACUUUCUUGUAGAUGGUGAGAAUGACACCAUAUGUGGCGGGCCUGGCCCUUGGCAGGUGCUCAGAGAGUCACUGUGUUUAUUAUUGACAAGGCUGACCUUGGGUAGGAGGAGGGAACACUCACAAUUGAGCCCCCUGGGCAGCUUACCCUCGGGUCCAGUCACUUGGUGACUGCAACAGCCCUCUGAAGCAGGCAAGGGAUAACUAAGAGGUAAAGGGACGUGCCCAAGGCCACAACCAGAAUAUGGCAAAGACAGGAUUGAACCCAGGUCUCCUGAGUCCUGUUUGUAUGCUGCUGGGGAUUCAGGUAGGAGUGGAGAGAAGCUGGAGUUGGACUUUGUGUCAACCUGGGUCAGGUGUGAGUUGCCCGAGCCACCCUCUGGUUUGACAGACAAGGAAAUGAAACCCAGAAAGAGGGCAGCAUAGCAGCAUCUGGAUUAGAACUGGGUUCCCCUUCUGAUUAAGAUAAGAGAUUGGGCGCUUGAGCUUGUUCUUCUUUCCCUACCAGGGACCUGAUAACUUGUCAAAAGGGGCUCAGGAAGGGAGGCUAAACCCUGAAACUGUUCAGAGAAAGGAGUCGGCUCCCAGCAGAGCCUUAAAAAGGUGAGGGGCUGGAGCUGGGGGAGAGGAGGAUGACAGCAGAGACACCAUGGAGACAGGUAUGUGCAUGAGUCAACAGCUUCCCACUCCUCCUCCCUCCAUCCCCUCAAACACACACAAAUCAUACAGCAGCAGGGUUUCCUAGCAUAAAUAAUGUGGAGGUAUUCCAGAAAUACUCCAGAAAAAGACAUGCCUGUAAAGUGGGAUUUAGGCUGGCCUGACAGUGGGCUUCCCACCCAGUCUUUCUACAGCAAAGCCCAGCACUUGACAAGUCCUGCUUUUGAAUGCAAACUCCUUAUGAGCUUCCUAACACCUCAGUCUUAGUCUCUUUAAGACUGCUGGAUAAAUCAAAGACGCCAUCUGAGGCAUCGGUUCCGGGUUCUUCCCCCUCCACUUGGCGCCCCCUAAACCCACCAAGCACAGCCCGCCAAAUAAGCACCCAGUCAAAGGAAACACCUCCUGCUAGCCCCGAGGUCCCGCCUUCUGACCAAUCACCAAUCACCACAUCACCCUAAAGGACAUAAAUACUCAGCCCCAGCAGCUCUCUCUCUCCCGUGCGCGACCUGACCUCUACCUCUCCAAUAAAGAUCUCUUGGCUGCCACUGGUGUUGUCUCUGACUAGCCUGUCACCCUUCAUUUUGGUGCCGUGACUCAGAUCGGGAUUCCCCUUCCCAGGCUCAGUAUAGACCUCCGGCCAGCCUCCACCCAUUUUCCUGUUCGCUGAGCUCUUCGCCCACCACCGGCCUCAUCUUGGUUAAAACCAGCCACGAACCCGGAUCAAACAAGAAUUCUAGCCGCCUCCUCACAUUCCAUAAAAUACACUUGCACACCCAUACCUCACAGCCCUCUCAAACUCCGCAUUUCCAAAGUGCCACCCCUUCCGCCCAUUCCAGAAGCCUAAAGUCCCACCACCAUGCAUGUUCCUCCCUCUGGGACACUCUCAAACCCCCUCUCAUGGCUUGGCUUCUUUCCUUCAUAGGCCCAUUACUGGGGGCCCUAGCGUUCUGUGCUCUACUCCCUUGCCUUACUAGGUUCAAUAUUUAACCAAAUGUUUAACCAGCUUCUCCUUAGAAACUACCAACUUCUAGCAACGUGUGAAGACACAACUGGCUCUAGAGAAAACCUCAUAGAGUGCUGACACCCCAUCAACAGCUCGCCUUCACAAGUUGCAUCUACAAGGGUAUGUCUGCGUAAAGCCUCCUACAACCCACACCCUAAAUUAAACUGUCAUUUUAUUUUCCUACAGCUCCAUAGCCCACCCCCAGGCUAUUAAAGAUGGACACUAACCCGUUCCAUCAGUUCCUAACCAAUCUCCACACCGACAGCUGGCUCAUCGAUGAUCCAACCUUACCUCUAAGGUGGCUCACCGCACUCAUCAACCUCUACCUACAAGGCAGAAUCAUACUCCUACUAUACCCCAACCCUCCCAAGCCAAACUCCCUUCCACUUUCCCCCUCACAAUGCCCCUUCUCAGCAGGAAGCAGCCAGAUAGAUGACGAUGCCCACUUUCCAUUUUAAACCAAUAAAAAGGGAGGAAUGUUGGAUAAAUCAAAGACGCCAUCUUAGGCAUCGGUUCUGGGUUCUUCCCCCUCCACUUGGCGCCCCCUAAACCCGCCAAGCACAGCCUGCCAAAUAAGCACCCAAUCAAAGGAAACACCUCCUGCUAGCCCCGAGGUCCCGCCUUCUGACCAAUCACCAAUCACCGCAUCACUCUAAAGGACAUAAAUACUCAGCCCCAGCAGCUCUCUCUCUCUCUCCCCCACGCGACCUGACCUCUACCUCUCCAAUAAAGAUCUCUUGGCUGCCA